UGGGUGAAAUCAUAUGGUAUUUAUCUUUCUCGGACUGACUUAUUUCACUCAGCUUUCUACUCCCAAGAUCCAUCCAUGUUGUUGCAAAUGGCAAGACUUCCUCAUAUGUAUGACCAGGGGAUAGUCCACUGCAUGUAGAUACCACAUCUUGGUCCCUUCAUCUGCGAUGGACGCUUGGACCGCUGCCUGUCUCAGCUACUGUGAAUAACGCUGCAGUAAACACGGGGGUGCAUGUAUCCUUUCAAAUUAGCACUUUCGUAUUUUUUGAGUAAAUCCAGUAGGGUGAUCACUGGAUCAUGGGGUAGUCCUAUUUUUAAUUUUUUGAGGAGCCUCUAGUGGACGUACUUUAAGAUUAUGCAAAUAUCCUGUUGAUCCUCAAACUUCCACCCACUAAUUCUAGCCUGGAUUGCCGAAUCUUGCCUACAACAGUUAUUACUGCGAUGUUCUUAAUGGUAAUUUUCUAUUUUCCUCCUGUCUUUCACAUGUGUUGAUGUAAUUCUUUUGUAAGGUAGAACCGUCCCUUCUCUUCCAUUUAUUUACUCAUUAUUUAUUUACAUCAGCAUGGAUUCAUAGUUUUUUUUCUGCCCCCUAAGGGUUAUAGUCCAAUUUCAUUGUUAAAACUGCUCUCAGAAUUUUUUUAAGUUUAUUUUUUUAUUUCAGAGAGACAACAAAAGUGGGGACAGAGGGAGAGGGAGAUGCAGACUCCCCGCUGAGCAGGGAGCCCAAUGGGGGGCUGGAUCCCAGGGCCCUGGGGUCAUGACCUGAGCCGAAGGCAGACGCUCAUCCGCUGAGCCCCCAGUUGCCCCAAGAGGUUUUUGUUUCUACCUCGUGUUCCAACUUUGGGUGUUCAGUUUGCAGUACAGACUUCCAGGAGCUCUUUCUUGUUUUCUAAAUAUUAUUUUUAUGGUGAUCUAGCCUUAUGGGUGUGACGUCUUCUCUUAUUUCUAAAGCUAUUUAUUGUUUGGGGGAAGUGUUCUUUUGUUUCUUGCACUGAUCUCUUUCUGAGUUACUUUUUUGUUUGUCUGUCUGUCUUUGUCUCUCUUUCCUGUGGGAGGCUCUUUCUCAGAUGUCCUGGCAUUCUCCACUGUCUGUCUACAUGUGAGUGAUGCACCUGCACAGGAUAGUCACUCCGCGCCCAGCGUUCUCCGUGGUCCCUGGGAAGGGAAAAGUGGAUCUUUACGGUGGGGAGAUCUACACUGCCUUUGCCAGACCUCACUUCACCGCUGAUCUAACUUCCAGUCGACAAGCUUUACGAGAUACAGGGACAAGAUUUUAUUUAUUUAUUCAUGAGAGACACACAGAGAGAGGCUGAGACACAAGCAGAG